rnacentral:rRNA from 1 species
GAGGUUGAUAGGUUCGGUGUGGAAGCGCGGUAACGCGUGGAGCUGACGAAUACUAAUCGGUCGAGGACUUAUCCACA